UAGGGAAUCUUCCACAAUGGACGCAAGUCUGAUGGAGCAACGCCGCGUGAGUGAAGAAGGCUUUCGGGUCGUAAAACUCUGUUGUUGGAGAAGAAUGGUCGGCAGAGUAACUGUUGUCGGCGUGACGGUAUCCAACCAGAAAGCCACGGCUAACUACGUGCCAGCAGCCGCGGUAAUACGUAGGUGGCAAGCGUUAUCCGGAUUUAUUGGGCGUAAAGCGAGCGCAGGCGGUUUUUUAAGUCUGAUGUGAAAGCCCUCGGCUUAACCGAGGAAGUGCAUCGAAACUGGGAAACUUGAGUGCAGAAGAGGACAGUGGAACUCCAUGUGUAGCGGUGAAAUGCGUAGAUAUAUGGAAGAACACCAGUGGCGAAGGCGGCUGUCUGGUCUGUAACUGACGCUGAGGCUCGAAAGCAUGGGUAGCGAACAGGAUUAGAUACCCUGGUAGUCCAUGCCGUAAACGAUGAAUGCUAGGUG
rnacentral:rRNA from 1 species